rnacentral:lncRNA from 1 species
CUGGAAGGUUCAGGAGCAGAGCUGCUGUGGAAUCUUGUGCCACAGGCUUCUGAAUCCCAGCUCUGGUGCUACAACUAAUUUGGUGGCAAGGACCUUCCUGUCUUAACGUUUGCCUCAUUGGUCUCCUGUGGCCUCCAAAAUGCUCUUAGCAUCACUCCUGAGGGCUUUGUGAGUUCUUCUCCCCAGUAGAAUGUCUGCCCCAUGAGAGGGCACGUCUUGUCACUUCAGCAUGGCAGUAUGUAACCCUUAGCACCACUGGCUAUGAGCAUGGGGUAGGGUUUCUCUAUUUCUGCCCUGGCUUUUUUUCUCAUGGGAGACUUUCCUGUGCAUUACUGCAGGGCAUUUAUCAGCUCCCUGAUCUCUGACCAUGAGAUGCCAGUCACACUGGCCCCCACUCCUCAGUUCUAACAACUAAAAAUGUCUCUAGACAUUGCCAAAUGGCCCUUGGGGCAAAGUUGUCCCAGUGAGAACCACUGGUAUAGAGCAAUUGCACUUACGAUCUGGAGACACCAGAAGGAGACCAGCUUAGUUCCUUGAUGGGCUGGGUAUGAUUUCCCUUGCUGCUUCCUUUCCUCUGUGAAAGACUUACAUUCUGCUUCCUGCCUGGUUUUACUGGGCUAUCUCUCAGCUUCUCUCUAUUGCAGGCUCCUCAUUGAGCAGGAAUCAUUUCCAGGACCGGAGUGUUAGAACUGGUAGGAAAACUGAUGGCCCCUACCUCGAACAAUGAAUGAUGGGCUUGCGGACUUGAGCACUUGGCUUUUCCAAGGGCCACUCUGUGCAGAGUACAAACUGGCUACAGGAGAAGGAGGCACACCUGGCCUGCAGAUAUGCAAUCUGUGGUGCCGAAAAUGAAAUAUGCUGGCGCUGUAUAGACACUGUACUCACAACAGUGAAUGAAGAUCAGUGUGUGAGUGGUAACAGUCACAGUAACCACAGUAAAGAGUAACAAUGACAUCUCUGCAAGUUAUAGCUCAGAAUGUGCCUGGGCAGUCACUCAGCUCCUUUUGGAUCUAAGCAUAUAUCAGUUCCAUCUUACAGAUGACAAAACCGAAGCUUGAGAAGGUCACGUGACCCACUGAAGUUGUUUAUGAUCUUUGACCACAUCAAGAGACCGAAAGAAAAAAAAAGAAGAUAUGGAGGUGGAGAAAUGGGGGCCAAAGUCACAGAAAGGAUCAUGUGAGGUUGCUAAGUAUAUCCUCAGAGGCAGUGUGGAACACUUUGUGAAUAGAUCAAUAAAACACUGC